rnacentral:misc_RNA from 1 species
AUAGGAAAUUGCGUCAUGUCAUCAAAGAUAGAUUGACAAUGGAAUGGAUUGCGUAGUAAGGAUAGUGGAUUUGAUGUUUUACGUGGUCUUGUCUGCUACAGUUGACUAUGAUUCUGAUAGACUACCUGACAUCAGAUUUUGGAGAAAUAUUCCAUCAAUAAAAGUUAUGGCAUAUCUCCCCAUAUUUUUAAAUGAAUAGUCUACUAAUUGAAAUAAAUGAAAAUUUUGAAUA